rnacentral:rRNA from 1 species
UCGGGAAUUUUGGGCAAUGGGCAAAAGCCUGACCCAGCAACGCCGCGUGAAGGAUGAAGUAUUUCGGUAUGUAAACUUCGAAAGAAUAGGAAGAAUAAAUGACGGUACUAUUUAUAAGGUCCGGCUAACUACGUGCCAGCAGCCGCGGUAAUACGUAGGGACCAAGCGUUGUUCGGAUUUACUGGGCGUAAAGGGCGCGUAGGCGGCUUGACAAGUCACUUGUGAAAUCUCUGGGCUUAACCCAGAACGGCCAAGUGAAACUGUCAUGCUAGAGUGCAGAAGGGGCAAUCGGAAUUCUUGGUGUAGCGGUGAAAUGCGUAGAUAUCAAGAGGAACACCUGAGGCGAAGGCGGGUUGCUGGGCUGAUACUGACGCUGAGGCGCGAAAGCUAGGGUAGCAAACGGGAUUAGAUACCCAAGUAGUCCCUGAGCGGGCUGGCAAGGCGCAU